CUGGGGCUGUUAACCAGUGGCCUCACUUCCUUUCUGCUUGGCCUCUCCACAUGGCUAGAUUGGACUUCUCACAGGGAGGCAGUCUCUGGAUAUUCAAACUUCUUACAUGGUGGCUGGCUUCUUCUAAAAUACAAAAAUGAAAGCUGCCAGGCCUUUGUAAGGCUUAGAAUUGAACUGGCACCCUGUCACUUCCUCCAUGAUCUAUUGGUUAGAGAAGGUCACAGAACCAGCCCAGAUUCAAGGAGCAGGGAACAAUCCAAGGACAUGAAUAUUGCUGUAUUUCCGGGACUGGAGCAAGAAUCAGUGUUGAGAGAAAACCAACCACCAGGACUCCCAGAUAGUAUCAAGAAACUGAAACUCACCAGAUCACUGCCUCUGGACCAUGAGAUGUCAGAUCCCUCACCUGUCAUGAUUGCCUAACUGACCACCUGCUUCCUGUUGACCAUCUCCUCUUCCCUACCCUCCUUAGUUCUUGUUUUC